GGAGAGAUGUCCGAGCUGGUCGAUGGAGCACGAUUGGAAAUCGUGUAGAGCGCGCAAGCGUUCUCGAGGGUUCGAAUCCCUCUCUCUCCGCCA
rnacentral:tRNA from 1 species